rnacentral:lncRNA from 1 species
AGACUUCAAAUUCUUUCUCCACAUCUUAAUAAUUUUUUUGAAAUUUUUUGAGAUGCCAAAAGAGGUUUUGGUGUUGAUUCAUGGCACCCUUUCUUGGAAAGUUCCAAUUCCUAGUCUAUAAAAAGCGAACUCGUCUCUUGGACAUCCCAUGAUCAAUUUUCUUAUAGAUUUUUUAUUUUCAAAGUCUCUUCUCCUCCUCCUCUCUUUCUCCUGUAGAUCUCCUAUCACUUUGAAGUAUCUAAGGUACUUGUAGAAGAAGGAAGAGAUCAGCUGUCGAAGUUGUUCGCAGACUAUCAUCUCCGAGCCCUUGAUAUGUGCCAGUCUUCGUGUGAAUUUUUCUAUAGAGGCCAGACAACUUCAUAUGGA